CGCUCAUAGCAGAAGAAUGACAGGGCACUCAGAGGAAGAAGCAACAUCUCAGUCCGUGAAGGAGGGCAGAAAAAAACGUGUAUCAUUUCCCCGCAGAUGAGCAGAUAGUGUCUGACUUUGUGGAGAGAAGGGCUGAACUUCAAGAGGAUAUAAUUCUGGCCUACAAGCAGAGCUGUGAAAAGCACCAUGUGAAACCAAACCCAAAGGCUCUUGAUCAAUUAAAGCAAAUUACUUGUGUUACUGACAGAGCCAGGUGUUUUGACCUGUCAGGUAAGUUCAGUAAUUCACUAUUUAUUAUUUUGCUAUCCCCCUGAACAAUGUUAUUGGUUUUUUAAAGCUAAACAUCACCAGAAAAAUCCCCCAGCGCUAUUA